GGCAGGGUAGCCAAGUGGUCUAAGGCAAGUGGUUCAUACCCGCUCAUUCGAGGGUUCAAAUCCCCCCCUGCUACCA
rnacentral:tRNA from 1 species